GACGAACGCUGGCGGCGUGCUUAACACAUGCAAGUCGAACGGUGAAGCGCCUUCCUCUUGGGCGGGUGUGGGUGAGUGGCGAACGGGUGAGUAACACGUGAGUAACCUGCCCCCUUCUUCUGGAUAACCGCAUGAAAGUGUGGCUAAUACGGGAUAUUCUGGGCCUGUCGCAUGAUGGGUCUGGGAAAGAUAUUGUUUCGGUGUGGGAUGGGCUCGCGGCCUAUCAGCUUGUUGGUGGGGUGAUGGCCUACCAAGGCGGUGACGGGUAGCUGGCAUGAGAGGGUGGGCGGUCAUACUGGGGCGGAGACGCGGCGCAGACUACUACGAGAGGCAGCGGGGGGGAAUAUUGCACGGUGGGCGGCAGGCUGAAGCAGCGACGCCUCGGGGAGGAUGGACGCCGGCGUGUAGAGAACCUCUGUCGGGAGAGAAACGGACCUGCCUAGUUUGUGGGUGUGUUGACGGUAGCUGAAGGAUAAGCACCGGCUAACUACGUG
rnacentral:rRNA from 1 species